CCUACGGGUGGCAGCAGUAGGGAAUCUUUCACAAUGGGCGAAAGCCUGAUGGAGCACCGCCGCGUGCAGGCUGAAGGCCUUCGGGUUGUAAACUGCUUUUAUAAGUGAGAAAUAUGAUGGUAACUUAUGGAUAAGGAUCGGCUAACUACGUGCCAGCAGCCGCGGUCAUACGUAGGAUCCGAGCAUUAUCCGGGGUGCCUGGGUGUAAAGGGUUGCGUAGGUGGCAUAGUAAGUAGCUAGGGAAAUCUGGUGGCUCAACCAUUCAGACUAUUAGCUAAACUGCCAAGCUCGAGACCGUUAGGGGUAACUGGAAGUUCUAGUGUAGGAGUGAAAUCCGUAGAUAUUAGAAGGAACACCGAUAGCGUAGGCAGGUUACUGGGACGGUUCUGACACUAAGGCACGAAAGCGUAGGGAGCAAACGGGAUUAGAUACCCUUGUAGUC
rnacentral:rRNA from 1 species